AAUGAAUAAGGCUUAGUGGUGACAACACAACAGAUUUAAAACGCAAAAGUUCAAGAAAGACGCAUAACCCUAUUAUCCGACUCGAGAAGCCGAAACUAAUCAGAAAGGUGGAGAAGUAAACAAAAUAUCUCAAAAAAUAGGAUAACUAUGCCACGCAGCAUUGGUUAUAAAUAACUGGCCAAAUAUUGUUGCUUUUAUUCAAAUACUG